rnacentral:rRNA from 1 species
AGUGAACGCUGGCGGUAGGCCUAACACAUGCGAGUCGAACGGCAGCACAGUAAGAGCCUGCUCUUACGGGUGGCGAGUGGCGGACGGGUGAGGAAUACAUCGGAAUCUACUUUUUCGUGGGGGAUAACGUAGGGAAACUUACGCUAAUACCGCAUACGACCUACGGGUGAAAGCAGGGGAUCUUCGGACAUUGCGCGAUCGAAUGAGCCGAUGUCGGAUUAGUUAGUUGGCGGGGUAAAGGCCGACCAAGGCGACGAUCCGUAGCUGGUCUGAGAGGAUGAUCAGCCACACUGGAACUGAGACACGGCCCAGACUCCUACGGGAGGCAGCAGUGGGGAAUAUUGGACAAUGGGCGCAAGCCUGCUCCAGCCAUACCGCGUGGGUGAAGAAGGCCUUCGGGUUGUAAAGCCCUUUUGUUGGGAAAGAAAAGCAGCAGGUUAAUACCCCGCUGUUCUGACGGUACCCUAAGAAUAAGCACCGGCUAACUUCGUG